CCUACGGGAGGCAGCAGUGGGGAAUUUUGGACAAUGGGCGCAAGCCUGAUCCAGCAAUGCCGCGUGAGUGAAGAAGGCCUUCGGGUUGUAAAGCUCUUUUGUCAGGGAAGAAACGGUGGAGGUUAAUACCUUCUGCUAAUGACGGUACCUGAAGAAUAAGCACCGGCUAACUACGUGCCAGCAGCCGCGGUAAUACGUAGGGUGCAAGCGUUAAUCGGAAUUACUGGGCGUAAAGCGUGCGCAGGCGGUUGUGCAAGACAGAUGUGAAAUCCCCGGGCUCAACCUGGGAAUUGCAUUUGUGACUGUACGACUAGAGUGUGUCAGAGGGGGGUAGAAUUCCACGUGUAGCAGUGAAAUGCGUAGAGAUGUGGAGGAAUACCGAUGGCGAAGGCAGCCCCCUGGGAUAACACUGACGCUCAUGCACGAAAGCGUGGGGAGCAAACAGGAUUAGAUACCCUGGUAGUCCACGCCCUAAACGAUGUCUACUAGUUGUCGGGUCUUAAUUGACUUGGUAACGCAGCUAACGCGUGAAGUAGACCGCCUGGGGAGUACGGUCGCAAGNUUAAAACUUAAAUGAAUUGACG
rnacentral:rRNA from 1 species